GAUGAACGCUGGCGGCGUGCCUAAUACAUGCAAGUUGAGCGAACAGAUGAGGAGCUUGCUCCUCUGACGUUAGCGGCGGACGGGUGAGUAACACGUGGAUAACCUACCUAUAAGACUGGGAUAACUUCGGGAAACCGGAGCUAAUACCGGAUAAUAUAUUGAACCGCAUGGUUCAAUAGUGAAAGACGGUUUUGCUGUCACGUAUAGAUGGAUCCGCGCCGCAUUAGCUAGUUGGUAAGGUAACGGCUUACCAAGGCAACGAUGCGUAGCCGACCUGAGAGGGUGAUCGGCCACACUGGAACUGAGAUACGGUCCAGACUCCUACGGGAGGCAGCAGUAGGGAAUCUUCCGCAAUGGGCGAAAGCCUGACGGAGCAACGCCGCGUGAGUGAUGAAGGUCUUCGGAUCGUAAAACUCUGUUAUUAGGGAAGAACAAAUGUGUAAGUAACUAUGCACGUCUUGACGGUACCUAAUCAGAAAGCCACGGCUAACUACGUG
rnacentral:rRNA from 1 species